CCCAAAACAAAGCUGACUGUCAAACCAAGAAGGGGUAGAGAAGGACAGUGCAAGGACCAGUGUCUGGUUUAUAUAGCAAGGUUAUGCAGUGAAAAUGCUUUGAAGGGUUGUGUUCACAUGAAAGCGGGAGUGGCUGAAAUUGGUAACUAUGAAAAUUGCACACAAAGUGUUCGACAAAAUGCCAAUGAGACCGAGAUGAGGACAAUUUGGUGGCAUUUUGGGGGAAGUGACGAGAGGAGGGAGGGAGGGAGGGGCUGUUUGGGGAAAGUAAAAAAGGGGUGGACACGGCAGUCAAUAAGGAAAAGGGCAGAUACCAAGAUUGAUAAAUGCAUGGGAGAAAGAGCCAAAAUGGGUCUCUUUUUUAAAACAAAAUUGAGAUAAGAGGGCAGCACAACACACACACCAUUUGCGUAAGGUAACGGCUACAUAUCGUGCCUUUUUGACUGAAACCAUGCGCUGGUGGCCGUUGUGGGAAUGCGAUGGGACUUGCGUAGUAUUCAACAUAGCCAGCUCAACUAAACUAAAGGUAAAGGAACUAGUGUUUAUGUUAUAUCUUAGUAUAUGAAAUUUGAGCAUUUGAAUCAGCCAAAUUGAAUGAAAGGAGUAUAUGUUGCUUA